GACGAACGCUGGCGGCGUGCUUAACACAUGCAAGUCGAACGGAAAGGCCCUGCUUUUGUGGGGUGCUCGAGUGGCGAACGGGUGAGUAACACGUGAGUAACCUGCCCUUGACUUUGGGAUAACUUCAGGAAACUGGGGCUAAUACCGGAUAGGAGCUCCUGCUGCAUGGUGGGGGUUGGAAAGUUUCGGCGGUUGGGGGUGGACUCGCGGCUUAUCAGCUUGUUGGUGGGGUAGUGGCUUACCAAGGCUUUGACGGGUAGCCGGCCUGAGAGGGGGACCGGCCACAUUGGGACUGAGAUACGGCCCAGACUCCUACGGGAGGCAGCAGUGGGGAAUAUUGCACAAUGGGCGGAAGCCUGAUGCAGCAGCGCCGCGUGCGGGAUGACGGCCUUCGGGUUGUAAACCGCUUUCGCCUGUGACGAAGCGUGAGUGACGGUAAUGGGUAAAGAAGCACCGGCUAACUACGUG
rnacentral:rRNA from 1 species